GACAGAGGAUGCAAGCGUUAUCCGGAAUGAUUGGGCGUAAAGCGUCUGUAGGUGGCUUUUUAAGUCUGCCGUCAAAUCCCAGGGCUUAACCCUGGACAGGCGGUGGAAACUACCAAGCUGGAGUACGGUAGGGGCAGAGGGAAUUUCCGGUGGAGCGGUGAAAUGCGUAGAGAUCGGAAAGAACACCCGUGGCGAAGGCGGCUCUCUGGGACGGUACUGACGCUGAGACGCGAAAGCGUGGGGAGCGAACAGG
rnacentral:rRNA from 1 species